rnacentral:rRNA from 1 species
UACGGGGGGAGCAAGCGUUAUUCGGAAUUAUUGGGCGUAAAGGGCGCGUAGGCGGCUUUUCAAGUGACGGGUGAAAUCCCUCGGCUUAACCGAGGAACUGCCUGUCAGACUGGAAGGCUUGAGACCGGGAGAGGUGAGUGGAAUUCCCAGUGUAGCGGUGAAAUGCGUAGAUAUUGGGAGGAACACCAGUGGCGAAGGCGGCUCACUGGACCGGAACUGACGCUGAGGCGCGAAAGCGUGGGGAGCAAACAGG